UACGGAGCUCUUCAGGGAUGCUGGGGCUCCCCUAACAAAUCUGUUUCUCAAUGUGUUCAUGAGAGGUGUGUCUUCUGGAUUCUUCCAGUGUGGGCAAAGAACAUGGACUCACAGACACUGGAUGGCUUGCACAAUGUCUUGAAGCCCCAAAGACUAGGUUGAAAUGCACAUGCAUUUUCACAAUACCACGCUUCCUCAUCUCUGUAAAGCUUACAUUUUAAUCCUCAUACAAGCUUUUGAGGAGGACUGGAGAAUUAUACACUGGAGA
rnacentral:lncRNA from 10 species